GACGAACGCUGGCGGCGUGCCUAAUACAUGCAAGUAGAACGCACAGUUUAUACCGUAGCUUGCUACACCAUAGACUGUGAGUUGCGAACGGGUGAGUAACGCGUAGGUAACCUGCCUGGUAGCGGGGGAUAACUAUUGGAAACGAUAGCUAAUACCGCAUAAUAUUAAUUAUUGCAUGAUAAUUAAUUGAAAGGUGCAAUUGCACCACUACCAGAUGGACCUGCGUUGUAUUAGCUAGUAGGUGAGGUAACGGCUCACCUAGGCGACGAUACUUAGCCGACCUGAGAGGGUGAUCGGCCACACUGGGACUGAGACACGGCCCAGACUCCUACGGGAGGCAGCAGUAGGGAAUCUUCGGCAAUGGACGAAAGUCUGACCGAGCAACGCCGCGUGAGUGAAGAAGGUUUUCGGAUCGUAAAGCUCUGUUGUAAGAGAAGAACGGGUGUGAGAGUGGAAAGUUCACACUGUGACGGUAUCUUACCAGAAAGGGACGGCUAACUACGUG
rnacentral:rRNA from 1 species